AGGAGGUGGGAUCAAGGAUACAAUGAUGGGUUAUGAUAGGAGGUGGGAUCAAGGAUACAGUGAUGGGUUAUGAUAGGAGGUAGGAUCAAGGAUACAGUGAUGGGUUAUGAUAGGAGGUAGGAUACAGUGAUGGGUUAUGAUAGGAGGUAGGAUCAAGGAUACAGUGAUGGGUUAUGAUAGGAGGUAGGAUCAAGGAUACAGUGAUGGGUUAUGAUAGGAGGUAGGAUCAAGGAUACAGUGGUGGGUUAUGAUAGGAG